UAGGGAAUCUUCGGCAAUGGGGGGAACCCUGACCGAGCAACGCCGCGUGAGUGAAGAAGGUUUUCGGAUCGUAAAGCUCUGUUGUUAAGGAAGAACGAGUGUGAGAAUGGAAAGUUCAUGCUGUGACGGUACUUAACCAGAAAGGGACGGCUAACUACGUGCCAGCAGCCGCGGUAAUACGUAGGUCCCGAGCGUUGUCCGGAUUUAUUGGGCGUAAAGCGAGCGCAGGCGGUUAGAAAAGUCUGAAGUGAAAGGCAGUGGCUCAACCAUUGUAGGCUUUGGAAACUGUUUAACUUGAGUGCAGAAGGGGGGAGUGGAAUUCCAUGUGUAGCGGUGAAAUGCGUAGAUAUAUGGAGGAACGCCGGUGGCGAAAGCGGCUCUCUGGUCUGUAACUGACGCUGAGGCUCGAAAGCGUGGGGAGCGAACAGG
rnacentral:rRNA from 1 species